UACGGAGGGGGCUAGCGUUGUUCGGAAUUACUGGGCGUAAAGCGCACGUAGGCGGCUUUGUAAGUUAGAGGUGAAAGCCCGGGGCUCAACUCCGGAAUAGCCUUUAAGACUGCAUCGCUAGAAUUGUGGAGAGGUAAGUGGAAUUCCGAGUGUAGAGGUGAAAUUCGUAGAUAUUCGGAAGAACACCAGUGGCGAAGGCGACUUACUGGACACAUAUUGACGCUGAGGUGCGAAAGCGUGGGGAGCAAACAGG
rnacentral:rRNA from 1 species